rnacentral:rRNA from 1 species
UACAGAGGGUGCAAGCGUUGUUCGGAAUUAUUGGGCGUAAAGGGCGUGUAGGCUGCUUUUUAAGUCUUCUGUGAAAUCUACGGGCUUAGCCUGUAACGUGCAGAGGAAACUGGGAAGCUUGAGUGUCGGAGAGGAUAGGGGAAUACCCGGUGUAGAGGUGAAAUUCGUAGAGAUCGGGUGGAACACCAGUGGCGAAGGCGCCUGUCUGGCUGACAACUGACGCUGAGACUCGAAAGCAUGGGGAGCAAACAGG